AUGCAUGAGUAUAGAAGAGAAGAUCUCCUUUUGGCGCAAUUGAUGGUAAAUCAAAAUGAUAAUUAUGAGGAGAUUGAAGAUUCAUGUUCAUCUAAAGCUAGUUUUAUCAACACCCUGAUGAGGUCCUUUAUGUAUGGACCCCAAAGGAGGGCACCCUCAGGUGUAAAACCUAAAGGAACUAUCGGUUUACAAGACCGGUAG